AAUGCCUAUGAGUAAGUGCUAAAUGUUCAGCAUUUCAGAAGGAAAAUAUUUUCAUUGAAGCAGAUGUUUCUCAGAUUCUUCAGGAGCCUAAAACAUUUCCUGAAAGUGUUGCUACUCUCCACAGGGAAAGACAGAGCAGAUCUUCAUUUGGAAAUGAAGCAUCUCGUGAUGAAAAAAAUUUAGAAUUCAACCCCUACAGAGGACACUCACUUACCAAGAGUUUCCAGAGGACAUAACUGCAGUACUAUGUUUUGAUUCUGUCUCUGACAGUGAGAUGGAUGGGUAAAGAGGUGUCAAGCAAAACUGUGAAGAGCAUCAAAAAUGGUGAAAGAAUAAUCAAAAAUGCUACAAAGUAGGCUGAUGUGAGGUUGAAAUCAUU